AGGUGUUUCUGCACACAGUUCACCACGUGCUACUGGACAGACACCAGCCUGUAAGUAUUUAUGGAAGUUCACAAGUGUGUUUGUUUGGAAAGACAAGAAAUGGAAUGUUGAAGUCAUAUUGAAAGGCACAGGUUUACUCUUUGAGUGCAAAAAUACCACCUGAAAAUGUUUUCAUUUUCAACUAAUGGUCAGUAAAAGAAGGUGUUGAUCGCCAUCCUUAAGAGGACAAACUAAUUUCUGAAAAUAUAAAAAUAUGAACUUGUUUUAUUAAGUCCCAAGCCCUGAAAGGUUUGGCUGUGGAGUUGAAACAAAUUUAUGGCGAAGGGAAACAGGAAGUGUGUUAUAACUUCUGCAUACAUAAACUGAUUUUGAUGAAACAUCAGCUGUGUGUUCAUUGUAGGAGGCCGAUCACAUGGAUGUGACUAUUGUGUGUCAAAGUCAAAGAGCCAACAACUGGCAGCAGGAAGUGUGUCACUUUCAAAAUGCUUUGAAAUCGGCCUAUUAUUUUUACCCGAUUUGCACCGAUUUUACACCUGUGAAAGGAUUCUUGAUAUCUUGAAUACUGUUGUCAUGGCAACCCUGAGGGUUUCUGAGGCAUUUAGCAUGCUUCAAAUUGCAUGAAACUUGACACACACAUCAGAGUUGCCAGGCAGAAGACAUGGGCAAAGCCUUAGAAAUGGGGUGUGGAGGAGGGGCUCUAUAGCGCCACCUUUUGUCUAAAGUUGGGGGUUAGUUUUACCUACAGUCACCAAACUCAGUGCAUAUAUUGUUCUCAUCGAGCCGGACAACUUUCUAAUUCACAGUCAUUAGCUCCAACCAACAGGAAGUCAGCUGGUUUUGUUUGAAUGUGGAUUUUUUGAACCAAGCUCUCAAUUUUUAACUACUGCUCCAAAGGCCAUCAUACAAUUCACACCAAACUUUUUCAACAUGAAGUCAAGACACUGAGGAUGCUAAAUUGCGGAUGGAUAUUGGAUAUCUCAAACGGUUUGGCCGUGGCGAGGCAACAUAUUUAUGGCAAAAAAAGGGAAACAGGAAGUGUGUAUUUUGAUGAAACUUCAGCUGUGUGUUCAUUGGAUGAGAUCAAUCACAUGAAUGUGACUAUUGUGAGUCAAAGUUAUAGUGCCACCAACUGGCAACUGGAAGUGUUUCACUUUCAAAAUGCUUUGAAAUUGCCUUCUUAUUUUUACCCAAUUCACUUCAGACUUCGUCAGAAUAAUGUCAAGACAUGGCAUAUGUAGACCUGUGAAAGGAUUCUUGAUAUCUUAAAUACUGUUGCCAUGGCAACACAUCAAACUUUUAUAAUAUUCUUGGGUGUUGUUGAGGCUCUUAGCAUGCUUCAAAUUGCAUGAAACUCUACACACACAUCAAAGUUGUCGGCCAGUAGACAUGGGCAAAACCUUAGAAAUGGGUGGGGAGGAGGGGCUCUAUAGCACCACCUUUUGACAAAAGUUGGGGGGUUAGUCUUACCUACAGUCACCAAACUUGGUACAUAUAUUGUUCUUAUCAAGCCGGACAACUUUAUAAUUUACAGUCAUUAGCUCCGACCAACAGGAAGUCAGAUAUUUUGGUUUGAAUAUGGAUUUUUUGAAUAAUCAGGCUCUGAUUUUUCGAUCGAUUCAUGCAAUCGCCACCAAACUCAGUCAACAUGAAAUAAAGACACUGAAGAUGCUAAAUUGUGAACGAUUAUAGGAUAUUUUGAACAGUGUUGCCAUGGCGAGGAAUUAAUGACAAAAAAGGGAAACAGAAAGUGUUUAAUAUCACGUGAAAUCAUUGUUUGAUUUAAAUUAAAUUAAGAUUGUAUGUUACCCACCAUGCACAGGUUUCCUUAAGCCACCGGUGUGGCGGUGGCGCUGGGGUUUGGGCCCGUCAUCGCUGCUUGCAGCUAUAUUUGUUAUUGUUCUUUUCUAUAAGGUUUGCAACCUUUUUACAAAACUUUGGGGUGUGUAAAUACAGUUUAGAACCAUAUUUAUGUGAUUGUGUAAACACAAGUAAAUAUCUACAUAAACAGAGGAAACAAUUGCUAUAACAAUUUAUCACGCAGAAUACAGUCCAAAAGUCCCAUUUUAAGAUGGCCAGUGGUCAAUGACUUUUUCAUCCUCUUAAAUGAAUAAGCCUUACAGAAUUUAAACAUGGUAAAUCAUCUUAGUCAAGCUGAGAGUUUGCACUAUGUUGAGCUCUUAGAAUACAGAUGUAACCAUAGAAAUAACUUUGAGGCAUUGACAAGGGAACAACUGACAAUAAAUGUUGCUAAUUUAAACCUAAAGCUCUAUUAAACAUAGCAAGACACUUUGCAUGAACCUCCCAAAAUGUCCGGCUGGCUAUAUACAUACAUAUAUUAUAUAUAUAAAAACAUCAGCCUGUGAAGCUCUCAGUGGUCAGAAUUGAUAUGAAUAGCAAUUAUGCAAUAACCCUCCAGUAAAUACAUUGCUAAUACCAGUGCUAAGCCCCAUCAGAUGAUAAAAAGAUUAAAGCCGUAGCACUUUACAAUAAAGCCCCAUUAGUUAAUGCAUUAACUAAAAAUAACUAACAAUGAGCAAUUCAUUUCUUACCAUUUUUAUUACCAUUAGAUGAUAAAAAUACAACAGCCUUUAUGUGUAAAGCAUUAUCAUAAUGUAUGUUAUAAUGCAUCUUUUCAUAUUUUUCAAAGUUAAAAUACAUUAUAAUAUUCACAGAUUCCUUGUUACAUCAGAAAUUGGUUGUUUGUCAUGUUUUUAAUGCAUUAUACUUUCUAAAGAUGUUCAAUGAAUAGAUCAGUAUUGUAACUGUGGUUUGUGAGAUCAUACAAUGCAUUAUAAGGCAUAAUUAAUGCAUUAAAGAAUAGUGUUACUAGCUUUGACAGUUACAGCAUUGCCUGUUUUAGCCCAUUAUUUUAACAAUUCGGACCACAAAUUUGUCACUCUGAUUGUAAAACCUAAUAUAGUGAUAUUAAUGUCAUUUUUGUGUAAAUGUGAAGCUUCCCAAAUGAAGACCACACAAAGUUGGGAGAACCUGACACCCGUUUGAGCAGCUGGGAGAACGGACGGCCAAGGCCAUGAUUAUAAGUUGCUAUGGUAAGGCCAGUCUCUGCAGGCAGUUUAUCGACACAAAAUAAAACAAGGUGGCGUGUUUUGCGGUUUCUGAAUGCUCCAUUAAUCCUCCAUAUUUGAUAUGCCAACCUGUUAGUGCUUGUCUAUAGCAGACAUGCACUGCUGACCACCGUAAGGCCCCCUGAAGAACGAGUCUGCAUUCUUUCCAGCAAAAGACUUGUUAUUUGUGACCUUUGACUGUGUAACAAGAACCUAUUGAUGGAAGCCUGUCCAUAGAGCAUGUACUCAAGUACAUCAUCUAGAAACAUUUAAAAGCUGCUCUGGUUCUUUAGGCUCAUAUAUAGCAGCAUGAUAACAACAUUUUGAGAAGCUGUGUUAGAUUUAGUGGUCUGGCUGUACAUGCAUAAAUGUUCUCAUAUAUAAUAUCCCAGUUAAUAACAUCAGGAUACAAAAAUGCUGGGUUAAAAACAACCCAAGUUGGGUUGAAAAUGGACAAACGUAGUGAUUGGGUUGUUUUAAUUACACAGCAUGUUGGGCAAACAUUUAACAUUUUUAACCCAGCAUUUUAAGAAUGUAAUUAUGACAGAAUGUUGAGAAUGUUUGGGUAAAUUACAAAUAUAAUUUUAAAUGUACACUAUCCUUAAAAAGUUUGGGGUUGGUAGGAUUUUUUAAAUGUUUUUUGAUGGAAGUCUUUUCUGCUCAUCAUUACAGGAAAAAAAAAAACAACAGUGAUGUUGUGAAAUAUUAUUACAAUCUAAAAUAACUGUCUUCUAUUUGAAUAUAUUGUAAAAUAUUUUUUGUGAUAUAUAUUAAAGCUGAAUUUUUAGUCUUAAGUGUCACAUGAUCCUUCAGAAAUAAUUCUAAUAUGCUGAUUUGCUGCAAAAAGAAACUGAUUAUUAUCAAACAGUUGUGCGGCUAAAUAUUUUCGUGGAAACCUGAUUUUUUUUCUUAGUGUUUCUUUGAUGAACAAAGUUCAAAAGAACAGCAUUUAUUUAAAAUGGAAAUCUUUUGUAACAUUAUAAAUGUCUUUACUGUCACUUUUGAUCAAUUUAAUGCAUCUCUGCUAAAUAAAAGUAUUAAUUUCUUUAAAAAAAAAAGGUGUUGUGGUCAAACCUUGCACUCACGUUUGAUUCAGUGGUCUAGCUGUGCAUGCAAUAUCACAAUGUUCUCAUAUCACAUACCCCAGUUACUGAGCUCUAGUUGCAAAACAAAUUGGUGCAACAGAUCUCGCUGCAAUGCAUGUAUACGUGUCAAAACACUGACUGGUAAUUGAAUGGAGCAUUUUAGCCUGAUGAACCUGAUCCGAUUCUUUAACUCGCACAAAGUGCGAUGCUUAAUGUGCAUUUGAAAUUACAGAAUGGACAUAUCUCGUAUUGUGGUUUAAAAUGCACUUGAUACUGUUUACUGUUGUUAGAAACAAUUAUCACCUAAUGGAAAGAACGCUGAAGAGCUGCACACUUAUCAUCAGCAUCUCAUCUUAUCUAGAAAUCAUUUGGUGAACGUACAGGAAAUGGUUUUAUUUCAAAAGAAGCACAGCAGCAAACUAAUGCAAAACAACCAAUGUUAGAGACAGACAUGAAAAGACGUAAAAAUGCCUGAAGGUGCAAGAUUCUGCUCAGCCUUCUGCUUUAUCUUCACCAUUGAUUGCUUGUUGGUGACACGUGUGAAGGGACAAGACUCUUCCAAUGAUGAACCAGCCUCAGAAAUUAAAUAUGCUGUCAUAGGAGCAGGGAUUGGCCUUUUCUUCUCCAUCUGCUUUCUGCUAAUGAAAAUCUACAUAAUCAAAAAGCAGAUGGUUGACAAUGAACCAUCAGAUGUAUCAGAAAGAAGAGCAUCUUCACGGGCCAAUGAUGUGGAAAGCAGGAGGGACUGAAAUGUCUUUUGAGGAUUAAUUAAUAUUAUGAUAUUAUGCUCAGAGGAGAACACAAUCAAAUGUCAUUUUAUGACAGAUUUUAUACUGAUUUAUUUAUUAAAUAGUGGCCAAUUUAGGCCUGAACAAUAAAUGUUUGAAUAUUCAGCAUGUGCCUUCAUGAGGACUUUUUGUGCUUUUUACACUGAGAGCCACAACUGCUCUUACAUGAGUAAAAUGUAUAUAUUUAUAUACAUCAACUAAUAUACUGCAUGUAUCAAGAGCACAAGAGGUUUAAGCCAGCUUGUCUUUUCAUUUCUUUGCCUCUGUUGUGUGACAAUUUCUAUGCAUAAUCAAACUGUGUUUGUAAUUAUCAAUAAAAAAUGAACAGCUCCUUCCA